rnacentral:rRNA from 1 species
UACGUUCCCGGGCCUUGUACACACCGCCCCCCGUCACACCACGAAAGUCGGCAACACCCGAAGCCGGUGGCCCAACCCUCUGGGAGGGAGCCGUCGAAGGUGGGGUCGGUGAUUGGGGUG